rnacentral:rRNA from 1 species
GACGAACGCUGGCGGCGUGCCUAAUACAUGCAAGUCGAACGCAGUGGGGACGGGUGAGUAACACGUGGGUAACCUCCCAUCAGAGGGGAUAACACUUGGAAACAGGUGCUAAACCGAUACUGAUGGAUGGACCCGCGGUGCAUUAGCUAGUUGGUGAGGUAACGGCGCACCAAGGCCACGAUGCAUAGCGGGCCUGAGAGGGUGAUCGGCGACACUGGGACUGAGACACGGCCCAGACUCCUACGGGAGGAAGCAGUGGGGAAUCUUCGGCAAUGGGCGAAAGUCUGACCGAGCAACGCCGCGUGUGUGAAGAAGGUUUUCGGAUCGUAAAGCUCUGUUGUUGGGGAAGCGGUAUCUGAAGAGGAAGCCACGGCUAACUACGUGCCAGCAGCCGCGGUAAUAC